rnacentral:rRNA from 1 species
GACGAACGCUGGCGGCGUGCUUAACACAUGCAAGUCGAACGGUGAAGCCCCAGCUUGCUGGAGUGGACCAGUGGCGAACGGGUGAGUAACACGUGAGUAACCUGCCCCUGACUUUGGGAUAAGUGCUGGAAACGGCGUCUAAUACCGGAUACGAGCAGGUUCCGCAUGGGCACUUUCUGGAAAGUUCUUCGGUUGGGGAUGGGCUCGCGGCCUAUCAGCUUGUUGGUGAGGUAAUGGCUCACCAAGGCGACGACGGGUAGCCGGCCUGAGAGGGCGACCGGCCACACUGGGACUGAGACACGGCCCAGACUCCUACGGGAGGCAGCAGUGGGGAAUAUUGCACAAUGGGCGGAAGCCUGAUGCAGCGACGCCGCGUGAGGGAUGACGGCCUUCGGGUUGUAAACCUCUUUCAGCAGGGAAGAAGCGAAAGUGACGGUACCGGCAAAAGAAGCACCGGCUAACUACGUG